CAAAUGCAAAGCGAAAUGCUUUGAAUUCAUGUAAAGAAAGGUUUUGUAGAGAGUCAAAGCCUUAUGGUUGACAAAUAGUUAUAGGCCAAGCUACAUUUGGGAGUGAUAUUUUCUGCUGCUGGUGUCUGUCCUUUAAGAGUCAGGUGAGCACUGCAGGUGGAGAUGAGAGACAAGUUUCACUCGCUCAAAAAUGUCUCUUUCCCCCAUCGACAGGUGCCAGAGCCUGCAAUUCCCACCAUCUGUCUCAUCUUUGGGUUAAGACAGUGCUUUCAUUCAUUUGUUCAUCCAUGUGUUUAACCAACGGUUAUUAACCUAAGCCCCUGCUGCGUACCAGGCAGGUACCAGGUGUACGGUGGCAGAGUGCCUUCAUGAAAUCUAUCAUCUACUGAGAGAGAUGUUUGUACUUUCUAGUAAAAUAUAUGAAGGAAAAGAGAAUAGCAGAGGGCUCAGUUGGGGAAAGAGACUUGGAAGCUGUUGCCGAAGGGUGGGAAGGAGUUAAUAGAAUAUCGAGUGGAGGAGAAGCUUUCUGGGCAGUGGCAGCAGCAUUGGCUAGAAGCCAAGGCUGAGGGCAGUGAAGAGCUUGGUGAAUUCCAGGAAAUGCCUUUGAGGCUGAAACAAAGAAUGUGAGAAGGUAAGUUGUAGGAAAUAAAUUGGAGACUUUACCAGGGUUGGUAUCUGCAGAAAUUAAGUUUUUUACCAUAAGAAUGUUGCCUUCCAUGUGACAUAUGCAGCCACUGGAUAACUUGGCAGCAAUGAUUGCCUCAAGACAGCUGGUCUCAGCCGGUGUAUACAGAUUGAAGACUGAAACAGACCAUUGCAGUCCCACACUCAUACGAACUUGUGAUUCAUCAACGUUCUUCCCAGAUAUUCCAUUUUACCAGUUUAAAAACAAUAUUUUAGAUUGAGAAUAUUUAAGAACAUGAAAUACACAAAUUGCAUCAUUGUACCCAUCAAAGACAUUGACUAGGAUCUGAAAUUGGUUUCUAAAAACUUAAUAAACUACAGGCAUUGAGAUCUAUGGUAUGUUCA
rnacentral:lncRNA from 13 species